GAUGAACGCUGGCGGCGUGCCUAAUACAUGCAAGUCGAGCGAACGGACGAGAAGCUUGCUUCUCUGAUGUUAGCGGCGGACGGGUGAGUAACACGUGGAUAACCUACCUAUAAGACUGGGAUAACUUCGGGAAACCGGAGCUAAUACCGGAUAAUAUUUUGAACCGCAUGGUUCAAAAGUGAAAGACGGUCUUGCUGUCACUUAUAGAUGGAUCCGCGCUGCAUUAGCUAGUUGGUAAGGUAACGGCUUACCAAGGCAACGAUGCAUAGCCGACCUGAGAGGGUGAUCGGCCACACUGGAACUGAGACACGGUCCAGACUCCUACGGGAGGCAGCAGUAGGGAAUCUUCCGCAAUGGGCGAAAGCCUGACGGAGCAACGCCGCGUGAGUGAUGAAGGUCUUCGGAUCGUAAAACUCUGUUAUUAGGGAAGAACAUAUGUGUAAGUAACUGCGCACAUCUUGACGGUUCCUAAUCAGAAAGCCACGGCUAACUACGUG
rnacentral:rRNA from 1 species